rnacentral:rRNA from 1 species
GCGCACCAGGCGAGAAUCCUUCGCAAUGCGGGAAACCGCGACGAGGGGACUCCCAGUGCCUACGCUCAGCGUAGGCUGUUCCCGAGCCUAGAAAGCUCGGGGAGUAAGGGCUGGGUAAGACGGGUGCCAGCCGCCGCGGUAAUACCCGCAGCCCGAGUGGUGGCCACUAUUAUUGGGCCUAAAGCGUCCGUAGCCGGCCCGGUAAAUGCCUGGGUAAAUCGUGAGGCCUAACCUCACGAAUUCCGGGUAGACUGCCGGGCUAGGGACCGGAGGAGGGAGAGGGUACUCCAGGGGUAGGGGUGAAAUCCUGUAAUCCCUGGAGGACCACCGGUGGCGAAGGCGCUCUCCUAGGACGGGUCCGACGGUGAGGGACGAAAGCCAGGGGAGCGAACCGGAUUAGAUACCCCCGUAGU